CCUACGGGAGGCAGCAGUAGGGAAUCUUCCACAAUGGGCGUAAGCCUGAUGGAGCAACACCGCGUGAGUGAAGAAGGGUUUCGGCUCGUAAAGCUCUGUUGUUGGAGAAGAACGUGCGUGAGAGUAACUGUUCACGCAGUGACGGUAUCCAACCAGAAAGUCACGGCUAACUACGUGCCAGCAGCCGCGGUAAUACGUAGGUGGCAAGCGUUAUCCGGAUUUAUUGGGCGUAAAGCGAGCGCAGGCGGUUGCUUAGGUCUGAUGUGAAAGCCUUCGGCUUAACCGAAGAAGUGCAUCGGAAACCGGGCGACUUGAGUGCAGAAGAGGACAGUGGAACUCCAUGUGUAGCGGUGGAAUGCGUAGAUAUAUGGAAGAACACCAGUGGCGAAGGCGGCUGUCUGGUCUGCAACUGACGCUGAGGCUCGAAAGCAUGGGUAG
rnacentral:rRNA from 1 species